CCUGGUGGUUUUACCAAGGGUGAAACACGUCAUCCCAUCCCGAACUGAACUGUGAAAAACCUUCGGGCCGAUUGUACUAUGUCUUAAGAUAUGGGAGAGUAGGUCACUGCCAGGU
rnacentral:rRNA from 1 species